GACGAACGCUGGCGGCGUGCUUAACACAUGCAAGUCGAACGGAAAGGCCCUGCUUUUGUGGGGUGCUCGAGUGGCGAACGGGUGAGUAACACGUGAGUAACCUGCCCUUGACUUUGGGAUAACUUCAGGAAACUGGGGCUAAUACCGGAUAGGAGCUCCUGCUGCAUGGUGGGGGUUGGAAAGUUUCGGCGGUUGGGGAUGGACUCGCGGCUUAUCAGCUUGGUGGUGGGGUAGUGGCUUACCAAGGCUUUGACGGGUAGCCGGCCUGAGAGGGUGACCGGCCACAAUGGGACUGAGAUACGGCCCAGACUCCUACGGGAGGCAGCAGUGGGGAAGAUUGCACAAUGGGCGGAAGCCUGAUGCAGCAACGCCGCGUGCGGGAUGACGGCCUUCGGGUUGUAAACCGCUUUCGCCUGUGACGAAGCGUGAGUGACGGUAAUGGGUAAAGAAGCACCGGCUAACUACGUG
rnacentral:rRNA from 1 species